rnacentral:rRNA from 1 species
AAUGGCCGCAGUAUUUUGACUGUGCAAAGGUAGCAUAAUCAUUAGUUUCUUAAUUAGAAACUGGAAUGAAGGGUUGAACGAAAAAAUAACUGUCUCUUUUUAAAUUAUUUAGAAUUUUAUUUUUAAGUUAAAAAGCUUAAAUUUUUUUAAAAGACGAGAAGACCCUAUAGAGUUUUAUAUAGUGAAAAUUAAUAGUUUGUUUAGAAAUUAUUUAUUCUAUAAUUUUUUAUAUAUUUAGUUGGGGUGAUUAAAAAAUUUAAUAAACUUUUUUUUUAUUGUUACAUUAAUUUAUGAAUUAUUGAUCCAUUUUUUAUGAUUAAAAGAUUAAAUUACCUUAGGGAUAACAGCGUAAUUUCUUUGUAGAGUUCUAAUCGAUAAAGAAGUUUGCGACCUCGAUGUUGGAUUAAAAUUUAUUUUUGGUGUAGAAGCUAAAAUAUUAGGUCUGUUCGACCUUUAAAAUUUUACAUGAUCUGAGUUUAAACCGGUGUAAGCCAGGUUGGUUUCUAUCUUUAAAUGUAUUAAAUAUUUUAGUACGAAAGGACCAAAUAUUUAUAAUAUUUAUUUUAUAAUGAAUUAUAUUAAAAGUUA